AGCAGCCGCGGUAAUUCCAGCUCCAAUAGCGUAUAUUAAAGUUGUUGCAGUUAAAAAGCUCGUAGUUGAAUUUUGGGUCUGGCCGGGCGGUCCGCCCUCUGGGUGAGCACUGUUCCGACGCCGGGCCUAUCCUUCUGGUGAGUCGGCAUGUCCUUUAUUGGGUGUGCCGGGGAACCAGGACUAUUACCUUGAAAAAAUUAGAGUGUUCAAAGCAGGCGUAUGCUCGGAUACAUUAGCAUGGAAUAAUGAAAUAGGACGCGUGGUGCUAUUUUGUUGGUUUCUAGAACCGCCGUAAUGAUUAAUAGGGAUAGUUGGGGGCAUUAGUAUUCAAUUGUCAGAGGUGAAAUUCUUGGAUUUAUUGAAGACUAACUUCUGCGAAAGCAUUUGCCAAGGAUGUUUUCAUUAAUCAAGAACGAAAGUUAGGGGAUCGAAGACGAUCAGAUACCGUCGUAGUCUUAACCAUAAACUAUGCCGACUAGGAAUCGGGCGAUGUAUUC
rnacentral:rRNA from 1 species